rnacentral:rRNA from 1 species
AGCGAACGCUGGCGGCAUGCUUAACACAUGCAAGUCGCGCGGGUGGUUUCGGCCAUCAGCGGCGGACGGGUGCGUAUCGCGUAGGAAUGUAUCCCGAGGUGGGGGACAACCCUGGGAAACUGGGGCUAAUACCGCAUGGGGCCUGUGGGUCAAAGCCUUAGGGCGCCUUGGGAGCAGCCUGCGUCCGAUUAGGUAGUUGGUGGGGUAAAGGCCUACCAAGCCUGCGAUCGGUAGCUGGUCUGAGAGGACGAUCAGCCACACUGGACUGAGACACGGCCCAGACUCCUACGGGAGGCAGCAGUGGGGAAUAUUGGACAAUGGGCGCAAGCCUGAUCCAGCAAUGCCGCGUGGGUGAAGAAGGUCUUCGGAUUGUAAAGCCCUUUCGGCGGGGACGAUGAUGACGGUACCCGCAGAAGAAGCCCCGGCUAACUUCGUG